rnacentral:scRNA from 1 species
AAAACGCUCCAGCUCACCGGGGCGCUGAGGGG